CGAUAAAUUUAUUCCAUCUGGCAACUGACUGAAAUGUCAGUUGCAGCUAACCGAGAAAAAAGUAAAAACACGCGAAAAAGAUCUCGGCAUAUAAAACCUCUUUAAAAACCAGUUCUAAUUAUGAAAACAUGCGGUGUUUAUCCGUAUCCUGAUGUACCCAACGCCGAACCAAAGCAGCAAGCACCAACCGUUGCAAGAGUAAACAACUAUAUUCCGUAAAUUAAACACAUUACCCACCAACAAGGUUUGUGUUACAAUCUUACAAUCCUUUGUGCACAGGUGGUAAAUUCCGGCUUAUAGGACAAUCCUACAAACCGAUGCGCAAGCAUCCACAGAAAGCCGCUUUCAGUCGUCAUCAGGUACUGGUCGACAUUUUCCCAUUCAUCAUUCUUAGCAGUUCCAUCGUCGAUUAGGUUUCGGAAUGUAUAUAUCCUGCUGCAGGUCAAUGAAGAAAGGCAAACCCAAGUAACACCAAGCAUUACACUGCCGUAAAAAACCUUCCGAAGUUCAUUAACUUGCCUUAUGAAAUUUAGCCACAAGGAAAAGGAAUGAAAAUCAUAAGGUAGCUUUAUGAAAUGGGAUGAACUUUGGAUGAAUUUGAACUAAAUGAAUACAUUUGUUUUUCAUAAGAUCGCCAUAGAAAUCCAUAGAGCCACCUUAUGAAAUUUCAUAAGUCUGUGUAAUGGAAUUCUUAUGAUCACAGCAAGAAAAUAUUUUUGUUAAAUACAUGGAAUAAGAAUGAUUUUCGGA